rnacentral:rRNA from 1 species
UGGGGAAUUUUUGGGACAAUGGGCGAAAGCCUGAUCCAGCAAUGCCGCGUGUGUGAAGAAGGCCUUCGGGUUGUAAAGCACUUUUUGUCCGGGAAAAGAAAUCCUUGGCUCUAAUACAGUCGGGGGAUGACGGUACCGGAAGAAUAAGCACCGGCUAACUACGUGCCAGCAGCCGCGGUAAUAUGUAGGGUGCAAGCGUUAAUCGGAAUUACUGGGCGUAAAGUGUGCGCAGGCGGUUUGCUAAGACCGAUGUGAAAUCCCCGGGCUCAACCUGGGAACUGCAUUGGUGACUGGCAGGCUAGAGUAUGGCAGGAGGGGGGUAGAACUUCCACGUGUAGCAGUGAAAUGCGUAGAGAUGUGGAGGAAUACCGAUGGCCGAAGGCAGCCCCCUGGGCCAAUACUGACGCUCAUGCACGAAAGCGUGGGGAGCAAACAGGAUUAGAUACCCUGGUAGUCCACGCCCUAAACGAUGUCAACUAGUUGUUGGGGAUUCAUUUCCUUAGUAACGUAGCUAACGCGUGAAGUUGACCGCCU